rnacentral:rRNA from 1 species
AACGUAGGACGCAAGCGUUAUCCGGAGUUACUGGGCGUAAAGCGUGCGCAGGCGGUUCGUUAUGUCCGAUGUGAAAGCCCCGAGCUCAACUUGGGAAUGGCAUUGGAAACUGGCGGGCUGGAGUGUGGCAGAGGGGGGUGGAAUUCCACGUGUAGCAGUGAAAUGCGUAGAGAUGUGGAGGAACACCGAUGGCGAAGGCAGCCCCCUGGGCCAACACUGACGCUCAGGCACGAAAGCGUGGGGAGCAAACAGG